AGAGUUUGAUCCUGGCUCAGAUUGAACGCUGGCGGAAUGCUUUACACAUGCAAGUCGAGCGGCAGCGCGGGGCAACCUGGCGGCGAGCGGCGAACGGGUGAGUAAUGCAUCGGAACGUACCCAUUUGUGGGGGAUAACUAUCCGAAAGGAUAGCUAAUACCGCAUAAGUCCUGAGGGAGAAAGCGGGGGAUCGCAAGACCUCACGCGAAUGGAGCGGCCGAUGCCGGAUUAGCUAGUUGGUAGGGUAAAGGCCUACCAAGGCGACGAUCCGUAGCUGGUCUGAGAGGAUGAUCAGCCACACUGGAACUGAGACACGGUCCAGACUCCUACGGGAGGCAGCAGUGGGGAAUUUUGGACAAUGGGGGAAACCCUGAUCCAGCCAUUCCGCGUGAGUGAAGAAGGCCUUCGGGUUGUAAAGCUCUUUCGGCAGGAACGAAACGGUUUGGGUUAAUAACCUGAGCUAAUGACGGUACCUGAAGAAGAAGCACCGGCUAACUACGUGCCAGCAGCCGCGGUAAUACGUAGGGUGCGAGCGUUAAUCGGAAUUACUGGGCGUAAAGCGUGCGCAGGCGGUUUUGUAA
rnacentral:rRNA from 1 species